GGAAAGCCAGGUUGUCUACCCCACAGAGCGCUUCUGAAGACCAAACUACAUAACUCACAAGAAAGUGCCUUGUAAAUCGCCCGGAAAUUGCAAAAAAAAAAUCCUUAAUUAGCCAAUGAGGCUGUCCCUACUGCCCAGCGGCCAGCCCUAGUCUCUCACAACAGUGAGCACCCAGUAGGUGCUGGGUGUCUUUGUGUUCAACAAAUAAUUUCCAGAAUUCAAACAAACAAACAAACAAACAAACAACAUUCAUUCAACAAACAUUUUCUGAGACACUGACCAUGUGCCCAGUGCACCAGGCUAUGGCUGAGGUACAAAGACAAUGAGAACAGUCUCUUUUUGGAGGCUAAUUAGUACUCUCAUUUCUACCAGCACUUUCUUUGGCCUUUUAAACCAACCAUUUUUGUCCAGACAAGACCAAAAAAAAAAAAAAAACAAAAACAAAAAACAAAACAAAACAAAAAACCCAAAAAAACAAAAAACAAAACAACUGGGUUGCUUUAGGGAAGCCCGGCUUGGAGUGGACAAUGGUGUCCAGGCCCCUGAAAGGGGCUGAUUGGAUUAUGAGGCAAAUGGAGGCAGAAGGAGCACGCAGGAGACAAAUGCAGUGGGCGGAGACCCGCUCUGAGUUAAUCAGGCUGAUUGAAGGGACCUUUUCUGUCUUGCCGAGUGGCCCGGGGGGGCUCUCACUAGUGCACUGCUGUGUGCACAUGGAGACUGGAGCUACCCUGGUCCCUCUCUGGCAACUGUUCAUUCAUUUGAUGCUCACAACUCCCUGUCCUGACCCAGGGCCGGCCUGCCAUCACGCAGGGAAGCAGAGGUCGCCAAGCGGUUUCCGACGGGGCCCCCCCACAUAACGUUAGCCUCGCGGUCUCUUCGGUUUUAGCAGCAGUGGACAUGAACCUGUUUCCAGCCUGCAUCCUCCAGUUCCUCUCGGGACUCCUGGCUCCACUGUGCUCACCUGGAGCCCCGCCAGCCCGCCUCCCCCUGUCCUCCUUCCUCGCCACUCCAGUGUCUGUCUUUCCUUCACAGCCCCGGCUUCUCGAGGCCUGUCUACACUCGCUGCUUUCCUUCCUCACCUCCAAUUUCCCCUCCAACCCACUGCUUCCUGACUCGCUCUUCUCCAUCGAACGGCUCUCGCUCAGGCCUGUCGCGUCUUCCUGUGCCAUUUGCUGUUGUGCUCAGGUUCCACGAGCUGCCCAUCUCCACAGAAGAGCAGCUGGCAUUGCCCACCGGCCAUGCCGGCUGAAGAAAAGAAGACUGAGGACCCCAGGAUGCCCAGCGCGAGGACCCCAGGAAGCCCAGCGCGAGGACUCCACCCACGACGCCCAGCGCGAGGACUUCACGCACAACACGUUGCAACCCUCCUGGAUUAGGCCAAAGCCAUCAUCUGGAAUCCUGCGUGGGACCCUGGACACACGGACACAGACACCUGCCCCCAGGACCCUCCAACUGUAAAUCGAUUGGAAGCGCCCUUGUGAGCUGGGGCCUUCAAAGGGCUGAGGAGAAAAUGCAGGCCGAGAGACCAGCUUCUCAAAUAGGCUUCAAGCCUCCAUGACCUGAGCUCACCCCCUGGAAAUGUCUGGAAAACAUAAUGGGCAGGUUUUCUGUCUUCAAAGUUUCCAUCAAAACCUCUUCAAGUUCUUUAUUGUUUAGGACUGAGACACUUGGGGACAGUAAUGGGGACUUUCUUUUGUAUCUGUCUUGAAAGGCCAAAAUAUUUUUAUAUUGCUGUAGACAAAGCCACCUAUUUACAAAUGGACUCUUGUUCCGUCGUUUCCCACCAGGAAGACCGUACUAUGUUUGUGUCUCUAUGUAUUCUGGGGUCUUGAAACAGGUUUCUCAUGGGGAUGGCCAUUCACUAGAGCCCAGAGGGGCAGAAGGGGAAGUGUCUACCCUGCCAAGGGGGUCUGGGGAAGGAGGGGGGCUAGUCUCAGAUUUGCUCCUUGUAUGUCUAGGGUAAACCCUGGGAGAAUCUGGUGGUAAAAGAACAUAUGCUGUGUUUGCCCCACAUCUGCCAUUUGUGUGUGUUUCUGGGCUACGGGUUUGCACACUUUGGUGGUUAACAUGGUGGGAGGAAGUAAGAAGGGCCAAGAGGGCACGGGUGCUCUGGUUUUCCUGCUGGGAGGCUGUUUCACUGGUGUGUGUUACAUCACAUAAUGCAUGUUUAGCUGGGUGAGUGACAACAGUAUGAAGGGACAGAGAAACAAAUAGGUGUAGAAAGAGAGUCACAGAGCACACAGUCACCAUUCUGUGCCCAGGCGUUCAUUAAAUGUUCAAUAGAAUGCUGAGCUCUGAUAGACAGAGCGGGCCAUGGACACACUGGUAUUGGGUCAUCAUGGACCUAAGGAGUUUUUUUAAUUGAAGAAGGAAUCUUACAUAACAGAAGAAAGAAUAAGAAGAGCUGUCAAAACGAGCUCUGAGGUUUUUGAAGCCCCUUAAUAUAAACAGACAGACAAUGGCGUGAUCAGGAAAGGGAGAAAACAAACAAACAAACAAACAAGAUGCUUACAGAAAUACGAGAGGACGUGUGAGCAUGCAAAGAGAACCCAGCUAGGUUAGUAUCGGGGUGCUGGUGGAUCGUUAAUCCUGUCUGGGUACCCCAGCUCCAAGGGGAUGAGAGGCAGCAAGUGAGAGGACACAUAGGAAACUGUAACAAGACAGAGGCGAGCAGAUGGGGAGCUUCAGCGGAGUGUUAAGCUAGGCUUCGCAAUCUGACCACUUAACUCUCCCAGCAAAGAAAAGAAAGGCUUAAAUACUAAAAAGAAGGAAAGCUGGAAGAAAGGAUGGUAGAUGUGAAAGGCAUAGAGGAUAGAAAGCAAUAGGGAGUGGAGUGCAGGUGCUGUGGAGAGACGCUUGCAGGUGACUCAAUUCACCAGCCUGUGCAGCUGAGAAAGACAGCCAGUGACAAAGGAGAAGAAGAAAGGUAACAAUACACUCACAAAUAGGUAGAUGAAUGUAGCUGGAAGACGGGGCCUGGCUAGGGACGGGAUGAGAGGCUGUGUCAGCAGACUGGUUAAUUCCCAUCUGUGCUUCUGAGAUGGACAAUGACCCACCCGACCAAGAGACCUUUCAGGCAUCAAUAUGUCAGGGAGGGCUUCAAUGGGGCAAUGGAGGCGAGGCCCAUUAAUAGCAGAUUAUGAUGUAUCCAAUUAGGUGCACCUGCCCUCUGGAAGUGCAGAAACCAGUAUUGAAAUGGAAAGAAAGACUGAAUGGAAGUCCGAGAGUACAAAUGAAUGGAUGGGAAAAAAGAUUUGCAUUCGCUCUUAGGGGGAGGGUGCUGCUGAGCCCCAGGGUCAUCUGAUCUCCCGGAGAAUAAAAGGGCGAGGGAGUGAUAGAGAGUAACAAUAAGAUGGAGAAGAAAUGAAAAGGAGUACAGAGAGAAUAAGUGGGGACAAUGAAGUCUAGGAGCGCGGCUUGUUUAACACAAGUCAUCCAUAUUAAUUCAAAAUUGAGGCCCUGGGAUGGGAUGGGCUGUGUCCAAGGGAUGAAGCUGUUGCCUAGCAUGUGCCAAGUUCUGGGUUCCAUCUCCGCCUGGCAAGACAAACACAGGAAACAAAAUUAUAGCCCAGAGGUUGUAAAUGUUGUUUUUGAUGGUUUUGGGACAAAGAGCUAGAUCGGUUGGAAGAUAGAGAAAUAGGAAGAGGUGGGAAAGAGUUAGAUGAGCACAAGAGGAAGCAGCAGUUCUUAAGAUAAGUGUUUAAAUAUGGUGAAUGCGUAGCUCUUGGGUGUGUCAAGAUGAAAAUAACGAAAAGAAACAAGUUUAGGGAUGACGGCACAGGGAUGAGCGGAAGCGGUGACUUUAGUUAAUCACCGUGGCCAACUCAAGCCCUGUCAGGGAUUUAAAAAAAGGUACAAAGGCGAUAAAGGAAGACACAUGCAAUACGGAAGAGAGAGACAGGACAGACAGACACAGCGAAAAGGCUGAGGACAUGCCUGAGAGGGUCGCGAAGGGAUGAGAGAGAGAACAGCGAGAAUUCUGCUUAAUUCAAAACCGGGCUCCUGAGAUAGCUAAAUAUCUCCUGAGCCCAAACACCAGCACAGGAGAUUAAAUAACAAAAGAGCUGCAGGCAGACCCAAGUGGAGAAGGCUUGGGACCCUCAGAUCAGGCUUCAACUAAAUCUGUGCACCUGAGGUCCAUAAAUAAAAGAAUAAAUAUUGAAAUAAAGGAGUGACAGAAAGGAUGAAUGAGCACACAUGACUGAAUUAGAAAUGGAAAUGGCUAGAGCAGCCAGUAAGGAGUGGCCCAUGGGACUUCUGCUCAUCUUAUUCUGGGCACCUGAGGUCCCUUCGUGAGAAGAUGCAGGGAGAAGAGGGGAAGGGAAAGGCAUGAGAGCAAAUGAAAGAGAGGCGAGGAGAGGAAAUGAGAAAGUGGCAGAGAGGGGAAGCGAUCGGUGGGUGCCUCGGAAGAGGAAUGUCCACGAGGAUUAAUAACGAGGCUCUCAUUAAUCCUAAAGAUCGAUGAGGUAAUCCAGACCCAGGUUCUUAAGGGGAAGGAGAAUGGAGAGAAUUAAAAAAAAAAGACGCAAAAAAAGGAGAGAAAGAUAAUAAAACAAGCAACAUGAUGAAUGGGUAAUUAAGAGAGGCUGUCUGGACAGAAAUAGUAAUGAGUUCCCAUGCAUAGUCCUUAAAUAGAUAAAUACAUUAUACCUUUCAAAGAAUGCGUGAAAAAUCGAAGAACACCAUGGCCCCCAAACAAGGCUGCACCUUCCAUUGCUGUAAUAAAAUACAUGCAGCGGAGAGCCAUAAAUAACGGAAAAUACUUAAAUGUAAAAGGUGACCAGACAGAGGGAGAAGAUUGCAAGCCCAGAUACACGAGGGAGGGAGGCGAUGUUUGCUUUGCAUGUGUAAUACAAUUAUGUUCACAGGAAAUUAAUAGAUUUAAAAAAAAAAUCCAAACUAAGACUGGGAGAAAAAACAAGGAAGAGAGGGAAGCGAGAUCUGAGAGAUGGGGCUGAGACUCCCGGGGUAGGCUCAGCAUGGUUUUGACUAUUCUGCACAUCCGGACUUAGAAAAGUGAGUUUGUCAGGGCAGGAAGAGAAAGGUGAAAUCUGGAGCGGGCAGAGCUGGGCAGAUGGAUAGAAAAGGAAUGGAAACUACACAGGUUGUGUGUGUGUGUGGGGGGGGGAAGUGGGGGCUCUAAGAUCUGAGGUUAGGCUUGUUUAAAGCUGAGCCAUUGUUGUCCCCAGAGGAAUCAAAUCUUACUGCUUUUGUGAAGGAAGAGAGGAUGGCAACGAUAUUGCAGGAAAAGAGGGAAGGGGGUAGGCAAGGAGGCAGGGAGGAACUUUCAUGUGCUAUUCGCUGACUGGGAUUGGUAAUAGAUAGCUCUUGGCCCACCACAAGCUGCUUCCACACAGCCUAACUGACUGGGAGCAGCUAUGGAUCACCAUGGCCAUGUUUUGCUUGCAGGGGGCCAUUUCACUGUCUGUCACAUCUUCAGUCCAUAGACACAUCCCUGCACAGUGCCCUUUCCAUAGACGUGGAUAGGAGGGAAGGGCUCAGGCCUGGGGCUGUGGAGAUGAUUGCAUGAAUAGGGGGCGCUAUGCCCAGUGGGUACCUUGUCUCCUCUCUGGGAAAGGAUCUCUUCUGAUCCUGAUGGGAAGGGGCUUAGCCAGCCAAAGGGCAGGGAUAGGAGGCUUUGUCUGCUGCCUGCUGGCUACCAUCUUGAGUGUGACUUACACCAGGGUGCAGACAAAGUGAGCUUGACCUGGAAGCCUAGAGGCCCAAGAGGCCCGGGUGAAGCAAGUAUCUCUGAGAUCAAGCCUACCCUUCAGCUCAGAGAGUGGACCCCUGCCUAGGCUCCCACACAUGAUCCUAGGUCCCAGAUAUGCCACCCCUGGAGCCCGUUUCAAGGCCCAUCUUCCAGAAUGUUUAAACCUGUGUAUGUAACCAGUAAAAUGGGAGUUUGUACUGUGUAUUGAAUCUGUCUUCUUAUUGGCCUCUGUGGGCUGCUGGGGGAGACCUGGAGAGUUGUUUAUUCUAGUGUCCCCCACCCCCUGGGACUCUUUGCUUUUGCCCAGUUUUCUUUCUCUGUUGUGGAUAAGAUUUUGUAGAGUUGUGUGUUGUAUGCUUGUGUUUGACCAUUAAAAAAAAAAAAAAAGUCACAGCCCUCCUUGAUUUCUCAAUUCCUAUUGGGGGUGCUAAAUUCCAAACCAAACCAAUCCAAACCAGAUUCAUGUCAAGUGCCCAACAGGAGGAUAAUAGCUUGGCUGGAUCAAGGGAGCAUGUGCAGACCCAAGAACAGAGUGGACAGAUGGGCUAUACCGCAAGGGGGCUUUGAGAGCUGAGUGCAGGCUAAGUAGAGAGAAGGUAUGGAAGGUUGGGGAGGGUGGGGCUGCUGCUACCUGAGUUGCUGAGGGUCUGAGACACCAGCAAGGAGGAGGGGCCCCUGGAAGAAGCGUUUUGAGAUGACUGAAGAUGGAAGAUGGGCGCUCCCUACGCUUCUAGCUUCAAGGUUUUUAGUGUACGCCAGCCGCCUCCGAUCGUGGAAGACACAGCCUAACCUUGUCAGAAGCCACCUUCUGUGCCCCCAGCACCACGUGUCUGGGCCACGUGAGCAACGCCACGUGGGCCUGACGUGGAGCUGGGGCCGCAGGGGUCUGAUGGCCUCCUGUUUCAGAAUCUGGGGCGUUUAUCAUCCUUGGGACAACUGCUGACCUGGCUCCGGAAGAUUGUCCACACAAGUCUGAGUGACGGAGUGAGAUGAGGGGGCGGGUGGAGAUGCUCAGAAGAAAACAGCCUUUGCAUGGGGUUCAUUUCCAGCUGUUUAGAGAGUCAGCCAAGGUGACAAGGUGGGGUUGGAUGCGGAGAAGAAUGCUGGGACUACAUGUGGGCUACAGCUGUGAAGUCAGUGACAUGGGGCAGCAUGGGGAUGGGUCUCUAGGUGGGCCUUGUCUCAACAUUCAUGCCAGAAGAUUGGAAGGGGUACCAUGGGUUACUGUGGGUCAGUGGGACCUUGGAAGGAACAAGGGCUUGGGUAGGUGACUUUGCCAUGUCACCUUGGGAUCUAGUUGUUUUGAGUCUUUGACUCUUAAUCUGAUCUUGAAUAACAAAUGUCUCUAGUUCUGGGGUUCUGAGAGUCUGUGGUAGGAUUCCCUAGGAUUCGUGUGGGGAGGGCGGUCUGCAUGUGCUCCCAAGUUGGUGUCCCAGCCCUUCUGCCUGCUCAGGGCUGUCUUAGACAUAUUUGCUUUUCCUUUCAACAUCAUAAAAGAAGGCAAAUUUUGUCUUUUGAUUGACACUCAUAUGCAAACCACAACAUCCUUUCUCUGAUAAUACUGGGACCUACAGCUCUCCUCGGCUCCCCCCGCUAUUUGAGCCCACCUUUGGGGCAGGUAGGCCAAAGGCCCUGGUGUUUUCUGAGGUGAAGUUGUUAAUGUAAAGAUGUGUAACUCAGAGCAGGGGGAAGAAACACACCCUCAACUCUGCUUCCCCGUGCUCCAUCUUCCUUUCUGCCUUCCAAAUUCUUAUGAACACCGUUUUUUUUUUUAAAUUUUUUUCCAUUUAAUGAGCAUCCUUUUUUUUUUUUUUAAAGCUCCAUUGGUGGUGCUUACUUUUCUGUUGGUGUUUUGUGUCUGUUGCAAUGAGCAUCUUGCUGUCCACGUUUUCGUUGCUCCAUGGUCUCUCUCACCUGCUUGAGUUCCAUUGAAUGGCUAUGACAUAAUGAUCUACCCAUCUUACUGUUGCUGAUGCAUGAUCAUCUCCUGUCCUGUUUUUUUUUUUUAUUUUACAUUACCGAUGACACCAUAACUAAUGGCUUUGCACAACCAGCUUUCCCAGCAUCCCUAGCGCCCCCUACAUCUAGCUCUUCCCAUGGUUCCUUUCUUUUCUCCUUGCUUCCUUCUGCUAGACUGUGAGCCCACUCAGGGCAAGGAGCUUGUGGAACUGCGCUCUGUAUUUCUUGUAGGAUGUCUAUGAAUGUUGACUGCGUGUGUGUGUGUGUGUGUGUAUGUGUGUGUGUGUGUGUGUGUGUGUGUGCGUGUGUGCGUGUGUGCACGUGUGCGUGUGUGCGUGUGUGCAUGUGUGCGUGUGCGUGUGUGUGUGUGUAAGGGUGGACAGGUAUGAGUGAUGGAGUGAUUGAAAGAUUGGCAGACAGAUGAGAGGCUAGAUGAAUGGAUGAGUGAAUGAAUGAAUGAAUGAGUGAGUGAAUUAAUGGAUGGGUAUAUUCUCUGGUUGAGCUUCUUGGAUGAAAGGGUAAUGUUUGAAUGGCUGUUGGUUGAUUGAAGAAAGCCUACAGUAUUUUAUCUUGUCUGAUAAUGUAUUAGCAUUUAAGCUGAUGUAUUAGUAUUUAAGGUGUCUGCUGACUUUCCUCACCUCUCUGUUAAAAAAUGCUUUUGUGUGUGUAAAACUUGUUCUAAUUACUAAUGAAGGCUGAAUACUUUUCACCCAUGUUUGUUAACAAAUUGUAUCUUAUCUUCUGUGAACUGUUUGUCCAAGUCCAGUGGCUCAUGGCUCUUUCAGGCUCUUGGUUGAGGGUGUCCUUAGACUAGGCAAUGGCCUUUCACAGAUAUCUACAGAAUGAUGUGAGAGGCUCAGCUGACUUCUAGCUCGGCAUUAGAAUUUACUUACCCUGGGAAACAGGGAGGCUGAUAUCUUGCACCAGCAGGUAGAAAACACUUUUAGGCUUGUGUCUGGGUUCACCAUGCAUUUCUAGCUUGUGAGCCCUGACCUGUGCUCUGUACCUCUUGUGGUGUGGCAGUCCUCCACCUUGUCCUCCUGAGUGAUAGACUACAUAUAUGCCUCUCCCCUGUUCUGGGGUGUAGUCUCUGAGGCCAUGUCUUAGAGGAACUGGCUUCUUAGUGCUCUGUCUAGACAUCCCCUUAGCUCUAGUCUUCCCAUGCACCUCAGUGGCAGGUGUGGUCUUAAUUUAGGGAAUGAAUGAGAAAUUCAGUUCAGGACUGAUGUGACCCUCAGGUUAGUUCUAGGAGCAAGGCCAUUUUAUGGUCUCGGCUCUUCCCAACCUCCUCACAGGGCAGUUAUAGCCAUCUGGGUAGGGUGUGUGUUCCGGGAGAGCUCAUCCUGCCAUCCAGAACUCCCUCCCACACUCUAUUAUAGCACUUAGCGUGUCUGCCUGUGUUCAGCCCUCUCACCCCAUGCUUAUCUGGACAUUGAAGCUUGGAAAGCCAGUGGUGACUUCAACUGACUUUUAAUUCAUCCACCCAUCCAUCUGGCUAUCCAUCUAGCCAUCUGUCAGUCAAUCCAUCCAUCCAUCCAUCCAUCCAUUCAUCCAUCCAUCCAUGCAUACACACAUUGGGCCUCCAUCACUUGACCUGGUGCUUUGGGCCUCUCUCCCUCUCCUGAAAGCAAACCCCUUCACCUUGGGCAAGCUGUGUGAUACCAUGGGCUGUGGUCAUGAAGCAAGGCCCCCAUUCACAGCCUCCUCCUCCUCCUCCUAGGUCACGGCUCUGAGCACGUCCCAGCUGGACCCCUAUCACCACAGCUUUUUCUCCAUAAGGCUUCUCACACCUCACACCCUCCUCCUGUGAUCCAGGAGGGCCAGAUUCCCAGAGUGCCCUGGGGCUGGCCCUUCCCACCAUCCGCGGAGCUGCCUCCCCAGGCUUCACACUGCCUGGUGCAUGGUCCCUGUCAUGAGCUUGGCCUUCACCUUUGCAGCUUCCUCCACCAGAUGGCAGUGGUUGUGACUCGUGUGCCCAUUCCUUCGCACCUUCAUUCAUUCAUUCUCUUACAGCCAGCAAGCAUCUCUUUAAAAAAAAAAAAAUUAGCUAGUGCUAUACUAGAGCCGGCUCACAAGCACCCAUUGCACCACUGUCCUUUGAAAGAAAAGAUGGGGACAUUUGUAAAGAAGCUGUGUUUGUGUGGCCAAUAAGAGGAGCUCCUUGAUUUCAAUUCAAACUUCAGGUCUGAGUUCUAUUGCCAGCUUGAUUGCUCUCUCCAAUUUUGUUCCUCACAAAACUAGGUUGAUUAGUAAUCAGCAAACUGUGUUCCCUGGGUGCUCAGAAAUCAUAGCCCAGAUCCUUAAGAGGCCCAAAUGGGGAGUGGACUAAGCACGAAGCAGCUGCCUCUGGCUGCGAGCAGGCUUUCAAGGCUGUGAGACACUCUGUUCUUCUAUGAGGAUGAUCUGAGAGCCGUUCUGGCCACUUUGGAGCUCAGCUAAUGCUUGGCUCCUUUUUAGAGAAAAUUGCAGGAGAUGGAUGCUCGUACAAGUGACAAGGAUCAUGUCCCAAUGUCCUUUCUGAAUAAUCCAUUCGCAGACCCAGGCGAGCAAGGCACAUGGCACUUUGCAAACCCCUGUGUGUUUCAGGAGGACCCAUGCUAGGGGAGGCCUCCUUUCAGCUUUCUGCUGUGAAGGGGAAGAGACGCAGGGCUCUUCUGAGUUCUCCUCCCACUAGACGCAGUAGGGGCGGCAAGGCCAGAACCUGGAGCUGGACAAAUUGUGUGAUGGAUCUUGCCUCAGGGCUGUUGUGAGGAUUGGUAUAACUGGACACUUCUGACUGUGACCCUAAAAGGCAGUGUAUGUGUCCCUGGGGGUGUGCCAGAGCAUUGGAAACCCUAGCCCUGGAGUGGGGGUGGCCUUGCUUGGGUAUAAUGGGGAAUACUUUGUAUCUGUUAAAUUUGUAUAUUUUCCUAUAGAGACUUUAACACCACGGGAUAGGGGACUCUUUAGAUAGUACCUGUGCCCUCCGCCCCCCUCGGACACAUCCACACCUACCUCUAGGAGAGGUUGGGGUUGUCUUUAGCUCUCUGACUGAGGACCAAGCCUCUGACUCAGAACUGUAUAUGGCACCUAGUUACAUCCCUUUCCAAAAGGCUCUUCCCAGGGGAGCACUCGGCCCGAUCUGGCAGACCCCAUUGUCCCUUUCCCAAUGUCCUCUCUCCCACUAACAGCAUCAGGCCAAACUGCCUGAGAUCUGGUGCCUACCACAGUGCCUGGCCAGGGGUAGGGCUUCAGUGACCUUCUGUUGUAUUUGUGUAGGUAGAUGAGUAGCUAACAAUUGUAACAGGUCCUAGGGGCAGAUGUGUAUGGUCUCAUUCAGUGGUUUGUAAUGGAGAAUGUAUCUGAACCCAUAUCAAGCCAUCUCUCUUCCUUAACAUGUUAAGCAGCCACUGCUGUCCUGGGUUGUUUUGCACCUUGCCUUGUUGUCUUUCAUGCUAAGUAAAAAAAAGUCCUGCUUUCUGCUGAGAGUCUGUUUCUUCUGGAACUCACCUAGGUGUGAUCUGGCAGGGCUGCUAAGCUGUGUCUCUGCCCCUCUGACCCGUAGUCUUCUUCUCUCUCAGGUGUGCGUCACUGGCAAGCCUACCUCACAGGGUUGUUGUGAGGGCUAAGGGCUGAUCGGCUGUAACAGUGUGAUGUCCAUGCUGGCUGUCACCAGGGAUGGUGCCAUGAUGGGGUUGGCUUGAAAUCACAACCUAUACCGUUAUUAGUGGUCACUGAAUAAAGAGUCUCACUGUGGACACUGAGGUUGUAUAUCCAGCCGUCGAUGUGGUAUUCGAGGCUGGCUGUGUGGUCCUGGCUAAA